UACGUAGGGGGCAAGCGUUGUCCGGAAUCAUUGGGCGUAAAGAGCGUGUAGGCGGCCUGAUAAGUCGGCUGUGAAAGUCAAGGGCUCAACCCUUGAAUGCCGGCCGAUACUGUCAGGCUAGAGUCCGGAAGAGGCGAGUGGAAUUCCUGGUGUAGCGGUGAAAUGCGCAGAUAUCAGGAGGAACACCUAUGGCGAAGGCAGCUCGCUGGGGAAGUACCGACGCUGAGACACGAAAGCCAGGGGAGCGAACGGG
rnacentral:rRNA from 1 species